rnacentral:rRNA from 1 species
AACCUGGUUGAUCCUGCCAGUAGUCAUAUGCUUGUCUUAAAGAUUAAGCCAUGCAUGUCUAAGUAUAAAUAGUAUACAGUGAAACUGCGAAUGGCUCAUUAAAACAGUUAUAGUUUAUUUGAUAGUUGAAUGCUAUAUGGAUAACCGUGGUAAUUCUAGAGCUAAUACAUGCGUAAAAACCUGACUUCUUGAAAGGUUGUAUUUAUUAGAUUACAAACCAAUAUUCCUUCGGGUCUAUUGUGAUGAUUCAUAAUAACUGAUCGGAGCGAACGCAGUUCGCUAAAUCAUUCAAGUUUCUGCCCUAUCAGCUUUCGAAGGUAGUGUAUUGGACUACCUUGGCAGUCACGAGUAACGGGGAAUUAGGGUUCGAUUCCGGAGAGGGAGCCUGAGAAACGGCUACCACUUCUAAGGAAGGCAGCAGGCGCGUA